GUGUCUCUACCUAAAACCGGGAGGAUAAGGGCUGCCCACCUGGAAGAGGAAUCCCUGCUAAAUUAGCACAAGGGAUUCUAAGGAGUCAGUGACCAGAGCAACCAGAGUUCAGUCCUCCGACACUGCAUAGGCCUAUGCUCUUUCUUGGUUUUAAAGAGGAAAGACAUUUUUAAGGAGACAUUCCAGAGGAAGACAAUCAUGAUGAUAAAAG
rnacentral:lncRNA from 1 species